rnacentral:rRNA from 1 species
GUGAAGAAGGACGUGAUUACCGGCGAAACGUUUCGGGGAGUUGGAAGUAAGCAUUGAUCCGAAAGUAUCCGAAUGAGGAAACUCAUAUACUUUUGACUGAAUCUAUAAGUCAAAAAGAGCGAACCUAGGGAAUUGAAACAUCUUAGUACCUAGAGGAAAAGAAAGUAAAAACGAUUUCCGGAGUAGUGGCGAACGAAAUGGAAUCAGCCUAAACUUUUCGAAUUUUUAAUUACGAAAAGGGUUGUGGGAAAAAAAAUGGAAUGACAAAUUCUAAUUCUUAAUCAACGUUUCUUUUGAAAAGAAGAGAUCAAUAAAAUUGAAUAAGAAAGAAAUUAAGUGAAUGAAUUGGAAAAUUCAACCAAAGAAAGUGAUAGUCUUGUAACUGAAAAUUUCUAAAAAAGUUUAAUCCCGAGUAGCAUGAGGCACGUGGAAUCUCGUGUGAAUCUGCGAGGACCACCUCGUAAGGCUAAAUAUUCCUGGAUGUCCGAUAGCGCAUAGUACCGCGAGGGAAAGGUGAAAAGAACCCUGGGAAGGGAGUGAAAAAGAACGUGAAAUUGUAAGCUUACAAACAGAAGGAGAACGACUUAGCGUUUGACUUCGUGCCUGUUGAAGAAUGUUCCGGCGACUUAUUGUUAGUGGCAGGUUAAGUUAGAGAUAACGAAGCCAGAGUGAAAGCGAGCUUGAAUAGAGCGUUCGUCACUAGUAAUAGACCCGAACCCGGUUGAUCUAAUCAUGGCCAGAAUGAAACUUAGGUAAAACUAAUUGGAGGUUCGAACCGACUGAUGUUGAAAAAUCAGCGGAUGAGUUGUGAUUAGGGGUGAAAUGCCAAUCGAAAUCGGAGCUAGCUGGUUCUCCCCGAAACGUAUUGAGGUGCGGCGGUUAAUGUUUUAAUGUAGGGGUAAAGCACUGUUUCGGUGCGGGCUGGUAAUUCGGUACCAAAUCGAGGCAAACUCUGAAUACUACAUGUACAAUUAACCAGUAAGACUGUGGGGGAUAAGCUUCAUAGUCAAAAGGGAAACAGCCCAGAUCACCAGCUAAGGCCCCCAAAUAUUUGCUAAGUGAUAAAGGAAGUGGGAAGGCUCUGACAACCAGGAGGUUUGCUUAGAAGCAGCAAUCCUUUAAAAAGUGCGUAAUAGCUUACUGGUCUAGCAAUUCUGCGCCGAAAACUUACGGGACUCAAGCAAAUUGCCGAAGCUGUGAGAUAAUUGAAAAAUUAUCGGUAGGGGAGCGUUCUGCGUUAGAUAGAAGUAUUAGCGAAAGCGGAUAUGGACGAGGCAGAAGUGAGAAUGUCGGAUUGAGUAGCGAAAACAUUGGUGAGAAUCCAAUGCUCCGAAAAUCUAAGGUUUCCUCCGGAAGGCUCGUCCACGGAGGGUGAGUCAGGUCCUAAGGUGAGGCUGAAAAGCGUAAUUGAUGGACAAUGGGUUAAAAUUCCCAUACAAAUUGAAAUUGGUAACGAGGGACGAAGAAGGCUAGACUAGCCAGAUAUUGGUUACUGGUUUAAAUUCUCGAGGUAAUGAGGAUUAGAGAAAAUAAUCUGAGCUAAGGAAUGAAUACAAGAUAGAAAAAUCAAAGUAGUUGAUGUCAUACUUCCAAGAAAAGCUCGCAAUGCCUUAAAUUUCAAUUUCCUGUACCCAAAACCGACACAGGUGGAUAAGUAGAGAAUACUCAGGAGCGCGGGAGAACCCUCCUUAAGGAACUCGGCAAAAUAGCUCUGUAACUUCGGAAGAAAGAGUGCCUUUAAGGCUGCAAUAUCAAGUUCCAAGCAACUGUUUAGCAAAAACACAGGUCCUGGCUAAGUGGUAACACGACGUAUCAGGGCUGACGCCUGCCCAGUGCUGGAAGGUUAAAGAAGUUGGUUAGCAUUCGCAAAGCUGAUAACUGAAGCCCCAGUGAACGGCGGCCGUAACUAUAACGGUCCUAAGGUAGCGAAAUUCCUUGUCAGGUAAAAUGAACUUGCCUGGUUAAUUUAGUGAUAAAUUAUUGUAAACCAGCUCAUAACGGUGGAGUCUAAAACAUGAAAAGAUAUGUCAUGAUAAUACCGUGGGAAGACCUAAUAAAAAGGUCCCCGUAACGACUGAUCCGAAAGGUGAGGAAUGUUUUGUAAAAAAAAAAUGUUCAAAACGCUGGCACUUAACUAUCUUUUUAAAAAGGAUAUCAGAAAUAUUAUGGAGGUUUUCUUUGAAUUCGAAAUUUUUCUAAAAUAUGGGGAAAUAGAAGGUUUUUUGUUGUUUUCUUUUUAUCCAGUCUUUUUUUCUAUUUGAAUAUAAAAAAGUAUGUCAUUUUUCAAAAAUAACAAAUGCGUUCAUCAAAUUCCAUACGUAGAUAUUUAAAUUCUAACAAUAAUUUAGAUUAUACAAGUUGGAUUUCUAGUUUCACAGAUGGAGAAGUUAGUUUUUCCAUUUCUUUUAGUAAACGAGAAUCUUUAAGAACUAAAUUGGAAGUACGACCAAGUUUUUCCAUUUCUCAAAAAGCCUCUUCAAAAGAUUGUUUGGAACGAAUGCAAAAGUAUUUUCAAUGUGGUGGUAUUUGCUAUAGUAAAAAAGAUGGGUGCUAUAAAUACGAAAUUAAAUCACUGAAAGAUCUGAAUGAAAAAAUCAUUCCAUUUUUUAGAAAACAUAAGCUUUUAACUUUUAAACAAAAUGAUUUUGAUAAGUUUGUAGAAAUAUGUUUUGAAAUGAAAAGAUCCAAUCACUUGAAUUUUCAUGGUUUAAAAAAAAUAGUUGAAUUAGCUUAUGAUAUAGAUGGUUCUAAAAACCAAAAAUAUUCAUAUGAUCAACUUAUGAAUCUAUUAAUAGAAAGAGAAAAACAAUUAAUGAACAAAUAAUUGCCAUAAACUCCUAAGAUAUUUUGUUAAGUUGAAUGUAUAGUCUGAUCAAUAUGGAAACAUAUUGCCUAACAAUAUUGAAGUUCUGACCCGCACGAAUGGCGUAAUGAUUUGGAAGCUGUCUCAAGGAGGGACUCGGUGAAAUAGAACUGGCUGUGAAGAUGCGGCCUACCUGCGCCUGGACAGUAAGACCCUAUGAAGCUUUACUGUAUCCUGAUAUUGAAUUUCGAUUUGAUCUGCGCAGAAUAGGUGGGAGACUGAGAAUCUUUCUUUCGGGAAAUGAGGAGUCAUUAGUGAGAUACCACUCUGGUCAAAUUCAAAUUCUAACUUCAUAUCGUAAGCCGGUUGAAAGACAUUAUCAGGUGGGCAGUUUGACUGGGGCGGUCGCCUACUAAAAGGUAACGUAGGCGUACAAAGGUUUCCUCAGAUCGGUCAGAAAUCGAUCUUAGAGUGCAAAGGCAAAAGGAAGCUUAACUGUGAGACAAACAAGUCGAGCAGAGACGAAAGUCGGUCUUAGUGAUCUGACGCUGCUGUGUGGAAAGGGCGUCACUCAACGGAUAAAAGUUACUCUAGGGAUAACAGGCUGAUCUCCCCCAAGAGUUCCUAUCGACGGGGAGGUUUGGCACCUCAAUUGGGGGCACAUACUUAGAAAUAAUAUGUGACAAUUUGGCUAUAUGCUGGAAACUCCGUUCAUUAAAAAUGAUGUAGUAUCCUAAAGUACUCUUGAACAUUUCAAAGUAAAAAUCUUUAGGUGCGGACAAUCAGCAGGGAAGUUUAUUAUUGAGUGAAAAAAGCGAAUAGUUUCGAAAGUGAUCUUCAAUUUUAUAACCCCUCAACGACUACACGCCGAACAACCAAAAUGGUUGAUGAUAUAGUCUGAUCUUUUAGGCGACUAAAAGGAUUUGAAUAAAAAGGAUGAAAAAUUUUUUCAAAUCAUAAAAUUUCAUCAUCUAUAUAAUAGAAAUGGAUGAUGGUGUAUUAAAAUGCGUUGCUUCGAUUUAAUGAAGAUAACAAUUUAAUGCAAAAUCUUUUCGAUUAAUUUUAUUAACAUAAUUGCGAUGUCGGCUCAUCGCAUCCUGGGGCGGUAGUACGUCCCAAGGGUUGGGCUGUUCGCCCAUUAAAGCGGUACGUGAGCUGGGUUCAGAACGUCGCGAGACAGUUCGGUCCAUAUCCGGCGUGGGCGUUGGAGUAUUGAGAGUGACCUUUUUCUAGUACGAGAAGAGCGAGAAAGAUACACCGCUAGUGUACCAGUUAUCGUGCCAACGGUACAUGCUGGGUAGCUAUGUAUAGUUAGGAUAACCGCUGAAAGCAUCU